CAUUUUUGCUUUCCCACUUUGUUUUAUUUUUGUUUUUCUGAAAAUUGCUCCUCUAAUCCUAUUCUCGCUACACGGCAGGUGAUUCCUUGUGAUUAGUUUUCUUUUCCCUCCUCAAAUCCUUUGUUUCCUCUCUUAGACUUGUCCCUUUCUCUCCCGCUAGCACGGUGUUUCUAGCCUUCAGUGUGUGAAUCUGAAGAUUUGGGUGUUUCCGCCUCUUCCGCUUCCUUAGUUCUGCAAUUGGUUUUUUUUUCCUCUUCAAACGCGGCUCUUCCUCUUCUCCUUGCAUACGGGUGACGAGACUGAUAGAGGUCAUUUUCAAGGCAUAGAUAAUAAGCUGCAAGAGUCAGUGGCCUUUUAUGUGUUCUUUCAUGUGUGCACACUCAGGCUCCGAGAUUGCAAAAGGGAAAGUUUCACAAUAUGAUACUGCCUGGUUUGGCCACCGGGGAUAGCACAACCCUACCACGGGGGUUAAACAUGAUGAUAUUGAUGACCCAACUGGGGGUCAGGAAUAGAAAUUGGAGCUUGACUAGACAUGGAUAGAAGGUCGAGUAUUUAAGGGUAUCAUUGUUAGAAGAAGGGUUGGAAGUUCUUUUUUAUAUUUAGAUUUAUUGGGACUUAAGAUGUAUUAUUUUAUUACGUUAAGAGUUAAUUUUGUUUUGGUUUUGUUGGACUUAUGGUUGUAUCAGUUUGGUAUAUUAUCACUACCGAAAGAUUGUGGACCCUUUGAUUUAUUAUUAUUGCAGUAAAGACUAUGUGGAGUUUGUAAUGUGUUUA